rnacentral:lncRNA from 1 species
UGAUGAGGUUCUGAAUCCAAACGGUACUGACUGCCUACUUCCGUAAGGCGCUGGUCGGUUAAGUUGUGUGAAACCAUAGACACGGAUAACCAUAAACUGGACCAUAUAAACCGCAAAAAAUAGUCUACAUAACAAGCCCCUCAAAAAAGGGUCUCGCUUUGUAGUUCGGGCUGGCCUUCAACUCACUAUGUAGCCCAGACUUGUUUCAAACUUGUGGUGAUCCUCCUGCCUUACCCUCCAGAGUCCUGGGAUUACAAGUGUGUACCACUCCGCCCGGCUCCCAUGUGAAUUUUGGAAUCAAUACGAUGAGAGGAAUCUAGAAUCCAACUCUAGAAGGAGAUGUGAGCACCACAAAACCUGAUAAUGUUUAUUUGGUGAGCUACUUUCAGACGAAGCUACUUGGUAACAUUAUUUGGCAUAGCC